GCCCUCGUAGUCCAAUGGAUAAGACAACCGCCUCCUAAGCGGUGGAUCCAGGUUCGACUCCUGGCGGGGGUA
rnacentral:tRNA from 1 species